CAGUCGCCGCGGUAAUACGAAGGGUGCAAGCGUUACUCGGAAUUACUGGGCGUAAAGCGUGCGUAGGUGGUUGUUUAAGUCUGCUGUGAAAGCCCUGGGCUCAACCUGGGAAUUGCAGUGGAUACUGGGCAACUAGAGUAAGGUAGAGGAUAGUGGAAUUUCCGGUGUAGCGGUGAAAUGCGUAGAGAUCGGAAGGAACAUCUGUGGCGAAGGCGACUAUCUGGGCCAUUACUGACACUGAGGCACGAAAGCGUGGGGAGCAAACAGGAUUAGAUACCCCAGUAGUCCCUGUCUCUUAUAC
rnacentral:rRNA from 1 species